GAUUGGCGCUAGGGGUGCCGAAAGGCUGAGAAACGGAAGACCGUUAACCCUUAGGACUCGAACUGGAUAAUGCCAGCGGGAGAAAGUGCCGGAAUACGUCG
rnacentral:ncRNA from 2 species